rnacentral:piRNA from 1 species
UCCAGAGUUACAGCUGAUUCAUGGAGAC